UCUCUCAGUUCCAAUAGUUGGCAGUCAUAAUUUCUCAUUUUCGCAAUUGCAGUUGCUGUUAAAUCACCUCUGCUUGAAAAACUCUUGCAAGUUACCUCGCUGGGAAUCAUCAAACUUGCCAUUCUGGAGAAUACUGAUCAUUGUCAGCCACAGGUACGGCCGCAUGGAAAAUGACAGAUACCACAGUGAAUCAGCCCCCAGACGUGUCACAGAGUGUCUGCAUUUGCGUGCAAAAGGUUUUUGAAGAGACCUUCAGCACAGCUCUGAUGAGACACAGCCUAUGCUGGAGCGAGGAACCCCCCUGGCAGAAGUGAGUGAGCGCAUGAACGAGGGAAGGAGUGAAAGACUGCCUGUCAGACUGGACUACCCGUGUGUUAAUCUGGCUGCUUCAGACACCGAAUACCACACAGAACCCAUGUUGUUCCAAGAAGUGAAUUCAUAUACAGAGCAAGCUGCCUCCUGACCAGUGGGUGUAGACAAGCACCAGAACCUCUUGCUGGCCUUGCAACACACUGGGAACUUCUGAUGGUUCAGUUUGCUGCCUGGCUAACCUGGACAUCAGGUCGCAGGAAGACACUGUGGCACUGCUGCAUAUGUGAGUCAGUGAUCAGCCAUGCUUAGGUCACUUCACCCUCAACAUAGCAUGCAUAUACCCUGCAGCCUCCUGCUAAGGGCCUGGCAAACCAGGGUCCCAGGCCCACACUCUGUGAGACACAAGGCCACAGUCCUGUCCCCUUUGUUUGCUGAGAAGGAAUUGUGAAAGUCUGAAUGCUGCCAGCUUUGUUCAGAAGGCCUUCUGCACUCACCUCAUGGAGCUGGCCCCAAAGUAAUGAGAAUCAAACAGAAGUGUAUAUGGAGGCUUAGCUCUCAUUUUGGUUUGAAUACAGGAGUUUGAAACAAUCCUGCCAUCUUGUCAUGCAGCAAGUCUCCUGCUCAUGGUGUUCCGACCAGCUCGGCCCACCUCAGCCAAACCCUCACCACAGAGCACCCAAAGUACGGCCCCUCUGGUGAAAGCUGUACAGACUGAGGACCCUUCUCUAUGUUUCUCUGUGUUCACCCUUCAGACGCAAAUCAGAAGGGGAAAGGAACAGAAGUGGUGUAGCUGGCAGGUGGUGCGGGAUGCCCACUCCUGCAUCUAAUAGCACACCCAGCUGAUGCCUUUUCUUUCGGAAGUGGGAGGCAGCCAGAAGAGUUUUCUCUCUUGCAGCGAUACUGUUUGCUCAAGGAGCUGUAGUAAAUGCUUGGCUUGUUUCUGAAAGGGCAGCACCCAGCCAUUUGGUGCUGGUUAGAUGUGCUUCUUGGUCUAUGGAAGCAGGGAUUUCCAUACGCUAAAAAAAAAUUGAGCAGAGCUUUAGACUGCAGCAGCCGUUCACCAAGGUUCUCUUUUUAGCUCUUAGAACU
ensembl:lncRNA